GAUGUAGGGGGCCAGCGUUGCUCGGAAUUACUGGGUGUAAAGGGUUCGUAGGCGGUGUGGCAAGUCGGGAGUGAAAUCUCUGGGCUCAACCCAGGGGCUGCUUCCGAAACUGCCGUGCUAGAGUGUGGGAGAGGCGCGUGGAAUUGCAGGUGUAGCGGUGAAAUGCGUAGAUAUCUGCAGGAACACCCGUGGCGAAAGCGGCGCGCUGGACCACUACUGACGCUGAGGAACGAAAGCUAGGGGAGCAAACAGG
rnacentral:rRNA from 1 species